GCUCUGCAGCAGAGAGAUCUGGGCUCGAGCCGGCCUAGAUCCAGUCCCUCGACUACUCAGCCUCAGCUUCCCCAUCUGAAAAGGGUAAUGGAAUCUAUUCCUCAGGAGGCUAUGGAGGCUAUGUUUUGACAAAAUGCCUCUAAAGUGCUUAUGUAAUUAUUAUCCCAGGUGGAACUGACCUUGCCUCUCAGAGCAACCAGUUCUUCCUCUCCAC
rnacentral:lncRNA from 1 species